ACGCACGCUGGCGGCGUGCUUAACACCUGCAAGUCGAACGGAAAGGCCCCUUUGGGGGUCCUCGAGUGGCGAACGGGUGAGUAACACGUGAGUAACCUGCCCUUGACUUCGGGAUAACUUCAGGAAACUGGGGCUAAUACCGGAUAGGAAUCCUUGCUGCAUGGUGGGGGUUGGAAAGCUUCGGCGGUUUUGGAUGGACUCGCGGCUUAUCAGCUUGUUGGUGGGGUAGUGGCUUACCAAGGCUUUGACGGGUAGCCGGCCUGAGAGGGCGACCGGCCACAUUGGGACUGAGAUACGGCCCAGACUCCUACGGGAGGCAGCAGUGGGGAAUAUUGCACAAUGGGCGGAAGCCUGAUGCAGCAACGCCGCGGGCGGGAUGACGGCCUUCGGGUUGUAAACCGCUUUCAGCAGGGGCGAAGCUUGUGGUGACGGUACCUGCAGAAGAAGCACCGGCUAACUACGUG
rnacentral:rRNA from 1 species